UUUCGAAUCGAUCUACGAACC
ensembl:piRNA 21ur-1232 ncRNA